UACAGACUGGAAUGAACUGAACUGGGAUCAAAUACGGACAAGGAUCAAACAUGGACUGGGAUCCUAUGGACUGGUAUCAACAAGGGACUCGGAUAAAAUAGGGACUGGGAUCCUACAGACUGGGAUCAAAUUGGGACUGAGAUCAUAUGGACUUGGAUCAACUAGAGACCUGGAUCAACUAUGGGCUGUGUUCAAAUAGAGACUGGGAUCAGAUGUGGAUUGGGAUCAUAUGGACUGGAAUCAAAUAUAGACUGGGAUAAAAUUGGGACUGGGGUCAGAUAUGGAAUGGGAUCAUAUGUGUUGGGGAAGAUCAAAUAGGAAAGCCUUAUAAAUAUGACUGCCUGGCAAAAGGUUUAGAAAAUACAGAGACUGAGAUGGUAACAAGUUGUGACAUACCAAACCGUAGUUACUGCACAAGUAGAACACAAUAGCACAGCCAGGAUGAAGACAAUCCCCCCUUCUGGUUGAACAAUGCCCUUACCUACAGGUAGGUCCAAGGGUCAAAUGGACUGUUGGAUCUCACCCCAAUGUACGGUUCAUCCCACACCUGUAACCCUCCCCUGAAGCAUCAGGAGUCUGUGACCCCAUUGGCCUGAGUCUUGUUCCAGCCCACCUUGAAGCCCCUGACAAGGAGUCCCUGAGGAGCCAGAUGCUCUCUUGGAACUUCCCUUCUCUUGGAACUGCCCCUCUCCUGGAACAUCCUCUUGGGAUCCUCUCUUAUCUCCCUCUACCCCUUGCCUCUCCCUUCCCCCACGCCCUCGGGCCUGCCACGGGUCAGGUCUGGUGACUCCAAGCAGGGCCUUUCACCCUCUCUAAUAAACCAGAUAUUCUAAGGGCAGCCUCCAGAGAUCUCUCGUCUCCAUCCACCCAAAGCGUCCUGGAGUCCAGCAUCCUCGCAAUAUGGACUGGGAUCAACUAGGGACUGGGAUCAAAUACGGACUGGGAUCAAAUAUAGUCUGGGAUAAAAUAGGGACUGGGAUCAAAUACGGACUGGGAUCAAAUAGGGACAGGAAUAAACUAGAGAUUGGGAUCAAAUAUGGAACUGGGAUCCUAUGGACUGGGACAAACUGGACUGGGAUUAUAUGGAAUUGAGAUCCUAUGGAACAGCAUAAACUUUCUGACAUGACACAUAUAAUAUUCAUUGUAACACUUGCGAAAUGCCAAUUAUAAAUAUGCAUUUGUCACAAUCCCUCCUUUUAUUCUUUAUAAAUCAUUUGGCUUGAGCAAUAUUUCUUAUCCUCUUGCAUUCUUUGGACUCUGUUGG
rnacentral:lncRNA from 1 species